GUCAGACCUCUGAGGCAGAGCGCUUGAGCUCUUGCCUGAUAAUCUCACUUCUGGAGGUCGUCCUCAGGAUAAAAGAAAGGAUAAGAAGGGUAAAAUAUAAAGCCUCCAUAGUAUAAUUUAAAAUAGUUAAAACUUGUAAGCAGUUUAUAUGACCUCAGAUUACGACCUCAGUCAGCAAACGUGGCCUUGUGCUCAGUCACUUCAUUCGUGUCCAACUCUUUGCGACCCCAUGGACUGUGGCCCGUCCGGCUCCUCUGUCCAUGGGAUUCUCCAGGCAAAACACUGGAUUGGGUUGCCAUGCCCACCACCAGUGGAUUUUCCUGACCCAAAGACGGCCUACCCAACCAUUAAAGUCAAAUUUAAGAGUAACAUUGAAAAUGCCAUCAAAUAAUAUUUACUGAAAAAAUAAGAUAUAAAGCCAUACAUACAUAUAUUUUUAAAGAUUCUUGGGGUGUGUUUGUAUACAUCUCCGUGUCUUCACAGAAAAGACUGGAAGGAGAUGGAUAGCUAUCCCUCAGUAUCUGCAGGAUUGCUUCCAGGACCUCUCGUGACACCAAAAUUCAGGGCUGAAGUCAUUUAUAUAAAAGGGUGCAACAUUUGCAUGUAGCCCUGGGCCAGGCUGCGGUGGACAGCUGGUGGGCAGCACAUAGGGGCUGGGCUGGGGCGGGGGUUGGGAAGAAAGAAGCUCCCUCACCCUCACAUACCUCUCCUCUGGCCCCCAAAGCUAUUGGAGUUCUUAGAUGUCCUGGAUGACCCAGUGCUGGGCUACCUGCCUCAACGGUCAUCACCAUCCUCACGUCCACCUGUUCUCCUGUGCCGUGGACUACAGGCCCCUCUACCUCCCGUCGUACGUGUCCUUGUCACUGCUGAGACCUUCACCCUCCAGCAACAUCGCCAUGGACACCUCUACCUUCCUGCUCAGGUAUGCAACCCCUCCUACCCAAGCUCCCCAUCCAUCCCACCCCAAGUCGGCUGUAGCUACCCUUCCCCAGGGUCCCACAUGCCUGCUGUGUGUCCUCAGGCCUCAGGCCUUUCUGUGCAUCUGAGUGAUCCUCUCUGAGGAAGUCAAGGAGGUUUCUACCUAGAGGCAGUCAGACCUCUGAGGCAGAGCGCUUGAGCUCUUGCCUGAUAAUCUCACUUCUGGAGGUCGCCCUCAGGAUAAAAGAAAGGAUAAGAAGGGUAAAAUAUAAAGCCUCCAUAGUAUAAUUUAAAAUAGUUAAAACUUGUAAGCAGUUUAUAUGACCUCAGAUUACGACCUCAGUCAGCAAACGUGGCCUUGUGCUCAGUCACUUCAUUCGUGUCCAACUCUUAUGCACCCCAUGGACUGUGGCCCGUCCGCCCUCUGUCCAUGGGAUUCUCCAGGCAAAACACUGGAUUGGGUUGCCAUGCCCACCACCAGUGGAUUUUCCUGACCCAAAGACGGCCUACCCAACCAUUAAAGUCAAAUUUAAGAGUAACAUUGAAAAUGCCAUCAAAUAAUAUUUACUGAAAAAAUAAGAUAUAAAGCCAUACAUACAUAUAUUUUUAAAGAUUCUUGGGGUGUGUUUGUAUACAUCUCCGUGUCUUCACAGAAAAGACUGGAAGGAGAUGGAUAGCUAUCCCUCAGUAUCUGCAGGAUUGCUUCCAGGACCUCUCGUGACACCAAAAUUCAGGGCUGAAGUCAUUUAUAUAAAAGGGUGCAACAUUUGCAUGUAUCCCAUGUACAUCCUCCCAUAUUCUUUAAGUCAUCUCUAGAUUACUUUUAACACCCAACACAGUGUAAAUGCUACAUAAGUAGUCGCUGCUGCUGCUGCUAAGUCGCCCAGUUGUGUCUGACUCUGUGCGACCCCAUGGACUGCAGCCCACCAGGCUCCCCUGCCCUGGGAUUCUCCAGGAAGAACACUGGAGUGGGCUGCCAUUUCUCCAGUGCAUGAAAGUGGAAAGUGAAAGUAGUUGCUAGCAUGCAACAAAUACAGGUUUUGCUUUUGGAACUUUCUAGGUUUUUGUUGGUUUGUUUGUUUUGGUUCUCUGACCAAGAAUGGAUUUUUAAAAAAUAUUUCUGAUCCGCAGUUGGUUGAAUCCUCAGAAGCAGAACCCACAGAUUGGGAGGGCCAAGGUUCUAUUCUCAGAAUCUGAGAUUAGCUUUAUUCUUAUAUAUUUAAAAGCAGUAGGGAAAAGCAGGACAUUUCCUCCCAGGGCUGCUGUGAGUUCCAUCCAGGUGAGAUGGACAAGCUG
rnacentral:lncRNA from 1 species